CUAGAGAGGGGGACCCCUGAAGGGGUUAAUGCAGCUGCAGGGAGCGGUGAUCGGGUGAUUCCCGAACCGCCGCGUGAGCGGGGAAGGCGGCCGUCGUGGGUCUCGCGAGCUGCGAGAUCCAAGAUGGCCGCCAGCCGCGUGCAGCAGGCUUACUCGCUCGCUGCCGCGAGUAAGCAGAAAAACACGGCGGAAGAAUGCAAAACCGCCCCGGCCACCCUCCACCUGUCCCCACACAGUCCCCUGAGUGUCAGCAGGGCAGGUCCAC